UUUGCUCAUCACAAUUCCCUCUAGGAUUUGGUAGCUGGUGCUGAGAGAAAACCCUUGAUUUCAUCAUUGCCCUGGGAUUGUACCAGUGGCAACUGUCACUCAAUGGGACAGAG
rnacentral:snoRNA from 1 species